rnacentral:rRNA from 1 species
GGGGGGAGCAAGCGUUGUUCGGAUUUACUGGGCGUAAAGGGCGCGUAGGCGGUCAGCACAAGUCAAUUGUGAAAUCUCCGAGCUUAACUCGGAAAGGUCAACUGAAACUGUGCGACUAGAGUGCGGAAGGGGCAACUGGAAUUCUUGGUGUAGCGGUGAAAUGCGUAGAUAUCAAGAGGAACACCUGCGGCGAAGGCGGGUUGCUGGGCCGACACUGACGCUGAAGCGCGAAAGCCAGGGGAGCGAACGGGAUUAGAUACCCCGGUAGUCCUGGCCUUAAACGAUGAAUGCUUGGUGUCUGGGGUUAUAAAGUCCCCGGGUGCCGUCGCUAACGCUUUGAGCAUUCCGCCUGGGGAGUACGGUCGCAAGACUG